rnacentral:lncRNA from 1 species
AGAACCCGCAGGUGGAGGCAGUGGCAGGUUGAGGCAGUGGCCCACACGGCAGCCUGUUUGAAACCAUGCUUCUGCUUCCAUCCCAUGGGGCCCCCUGGGCCGUCAUCCUGGGACCCUCCUCGCCUUCUACCCCUCACUCCCGCGGAGGACUUCUGCCGCCAGAACCCGCCCCCUUUGGGGCUGCUCUGUCCCUCCUCUCAAGUUUGUGGCCGCCGUGGGGGUGCACUGCUCAGACCUCCCUCCUUUCUGUCCCCAGACAACAGUGGAGCAGGGCGGGGCUGCCAGAGCAGGCCAUGCCGGCCCCAAGCCGGCUCCUCCAAAGGGUCAUCUUCAUGCCGGGGCUCCCUGUCAGCUGGCCAAGACUUCCUGCUUGUUGCCCUGCAGGCUGAGCCUCUUUCUGCCCAACCCGCCUUCCUUCUGCUUCUCCUUUCUCGGGUGUCACAUCCGCACUGUGGGCUGAAGCAUCUCCCGCCGCCUGCUCGGUCUCCCUCUCGUCCAUCACAGGCAUCACACCCAAUAAGUCUCUUGCACAUCUAAUUCCAGCUGGGCCUCUGCUGCCCGUGGGACCUGAACUAGCUCAGGACUCAGCAGUGGGCGUGUCCCCAUAUACAGGAAUGGGGUUCAGGAGACGUGGCUGGCCACAACAUAAGUGUCCUCUGUGCUCGGACCUCUCCCCAAAGUCCCACGCGAAGCAGCAGCUGACCCAACCUCGCUCUCCCUAACAGCCCUUGCCCCCUCCUCUGUCCCACCUUCCCUCGCCUUUAAGGUCUCUUCUCUUUGCUGCAUGUUUUCACUGUGUCUUUGUCAUGUAACUAUAACCCAUUCCCCUGACCAAAACUAUAAAGAUCGGAGAGCGUGUCAGUCAACCCAUCCGUCCAUCAACCCCGCUUAGAAGGGCAGAGAGGGACAUGCAUUGUUAAUAUUUUUUCCCUGUCCCAUGGACCCCAACUUAAUGAUUAUAACAGCUUAAUAAGUUGCUUCUUGCUUCCCUUACUUGUAUGUAAAGAUGAAAGUCCGGAGAAUUCCUGACCAUCUGCCGGGAAGAACAUAAGGAAGGCCCCUCCUGACCAGCAGGUGGCCCCCAGGCCACGCUUUCA